CCGCGACUUCACCGCCUCGUCGAUUGAUUCAAUCACGUUUAUUCCGGUGGUUGCUUUUGUUGUUUCUUCCUAAAUCGUUUUGGUGAACUUUGAUCCAUCAAGGACAUCUGUUUCCUCAGCUUUCAUUGUUGAGUCUUCUGGACAGUCUCAAAUUACUCCAUCAUCCACUACUUCAGGUAAUUUUUCUAGAGUUUAGUUUGUAUCAAACAUAGUUGGGAAUUUAGGAAGACUUUCCAGCAUUCAAGAAGACAUGAUGAACAAGAUUAAAGAAGGGCAGUCAGAAGAUAGAAGAUUGAAGAUGGCCUAUGAUAUCUACAAGGAGAUCGUACUAAAGAAUUUGGAAGUUUUUGUAGUUUAGGAAAGAUUGAAUCUUUGUUGGAAUGGUUUAUGUUUCAGUUGGAAUUGAUUUUAAGAAUUAAUGUUAAAAAUAGUUGAAUUUUUGAAAUU